rnacentral:rRNA from 1 species
UACGUAGGGGGCUAGCGUUGUCCGGAUUUAUUGGGCGUAAAGAGCGUGUAGGCGGCCAAGUAGGUCCGGUGUGAAAACUCGAGGCUUAACCUCGAGAUGUCAUCGGAAACCAUUUGGCUAGAGUCCGGAAGAGGAAAGUGGAAUUCCUGGUGUAGCGGUGAAAUGCGCAGAUAUCAGGAGGAACACCGGUGGCGAAGGCGGAUCUCUGGGCCUUACCUGACGCUGAGGCGCGAAAGCUAGGGGAGCAAACAGG